AGCGGCGGACGGGUGAGUAAUGCCUAGGAAAUUGCCUUGAUGUGGGGGAUAACCAUUGGAAACGAUGGCUAAUACCGCAUAAUGCCUACGGGCCAAAGAGGGGGACCUUCGGGCCUCUCGCGUCAAGAUAUGCCUAGGUGGGAUUAGCUAGUUGGUGAGGUAAUGGCUCACCAAGGCGACGAUCCCUAGCUGGUCUGAGAGGAUGAUCAGCCACACUGGAACUGAGACACGGUCCAGACUCCUACGGGAGGCAGCAGUGGGGAAUAUUGCACAAUGGGCGAAAGCCUGAUGCAGCCAUGCCGCGUGUAUGAAGAAGGCCUUCGGGUUGUAAAGUACUUUCAGUUGUGAGGAAGGGGGUGUUGUUAAUAGCAACAUCUCUUGACGUUAGCAACAGAAGAAGCACCGGCUAACUCCGUGCCAGCAGCCGCGGUAAUACGGAGGGUGCGAGCGUUAAUCGGAAUUACUGGGCGUAAAGCGCAUGCAGGUGGUUCAUUAAGUCAGAUGUGAAAGCCCGGGGCUCAACCUCGGAACUGCAUUUGAAACUGGUGAACUAGAGUACUGUAGAGGGGGGUAGAAUUUCAGGUGUAGCGGUGAAAUGCGUAGAGAUCUGAAGGAAUACCAGUGGCGAAGGCGGCCCCCUGGACAGAUACUGA
rnacentral:rRNA from 1 species